GGAGGGGUGGCCGAGUGGCUUAAGGCGGCGGUCUUGAAAACCGCUGUGAGGCCGAAACCUCACCGGGGGUUCGAAUCCCUCCCCCUCCG
rnacentral:tRNA from 1 species